GCCGGGGUAGCCAACUUGGUGACGGCGGCGGUCUGAAAAACCGUAGAUAGCAGUUCGAUUCUGCUCCCCGGCACCA
rnacentral:tRNA from 1 species